AGUUCGUGGAUUAAUUUGUCUGGUUAAUUCCGUUAACGAACGAGACCUUGGCUCGCUAAUUGAGUUUCAGUACUACCCGUAUUGAUACCUUAUUAGAAGGACCAUGUGUCUUCAACACAAGGAAGCGCGAGGCAAUAACAGG
rnacentral:rRNA from 1 species